rnacentral:rRNA from 1 species
GAUGAACGCUGGCGGCGUGCUUAACACAUGCAAGUCGAACGAUGAAGCUCAGCUUGCUGGGUGGAUUAGUGGCGAACGGGUGAGUAACACGUGAGUAACCUGCCCUUAACUCUGGGAUAAGCCUGGGAAACUAGGUCUAAUACCGGAUAGGAGCGCCUACCGCAUGGUGGGUGUUGGAAAGAUUUAUCGGUUUUGGAUGGACUCGCGGCCUAUCAGCUUGUUGGUGAGGUAAUGGCUCACCAAGGCGACGACGGGUAGCCGGCCUGAGAGGGUGACCGGCCACACUGGCACUGAGACACGGCCCAGACUCCUACGGGAGGCAGCAGUGGGUAAUAUUGCACAAUGGGCGAAAGCCUGAUGCAGCGACGCCGCGUGCGGGAUGACGGCCUUCGGGUUGUAAACCUCUUUCAGUAGGGAAGAAGCGAAAGUGACGGUACCGGCAGAAGAAGCACCGGCUAACUACGU